rnacentral:rRNA from 1 species
AGAGUUUGAUCAUGGCUCAGAUUGAACGCUGGCGGCAGGCCUAACACAUGCAAGUCGAGCGGAUGAAGGGAGCCUGCUCCUGGAUUCAGCGGCGGACGGGUGAGUAAUGCCUAGGAAUCUGCCUGGUAGUGGGGGAUAACGUCCGGAAACGGGCGCUAAUACCGCAUACGUCCUGAGGGAGAAAGUGGGGGAUCUUCGGACCUCUCGCUAUCAGAUGAGCCUAGGUCGGAUUAGCUAGUUGGUGGGGUAAAGGCCUACCAAGGCGACGAUCCGUAACUGGUCUGAGAGGAUGAUCAGUCACACUGGAACUGAGACACGGUCCAGACUCCUACGGGAGGCAGCAGUGGGGAAUAUUGGACAAUGGGCGAAAGCCUGAUCCAGCCAUGCCGCGUGUGUGAAGAAGGUCUUCGGAUUGUAAAGCACUUUAAGUUGGGAGGAAGGGCAGUAAGUUAAUACCUUGCUGUUUUGACGUUACCAACAGAAUAAGCACCGGCUAACUUCGUGCCAGCAGCCGCGGUAAUACGAAGGGUGCAAGCGUUAAUCGGAAUUACUGGGCGUAAAGCGCGCGUAGGUGGUUCAGCAAGUUGGAUGUGAAAUCCCCGGGCUCAACCUGUGAACUGCAUUCAAAACUACUGAGCUAGAGUACGGUAGAGGGUGGUGGAAUUUCCUGUGUAGCGGUGAAAUGCGUAGAUAUAGGAAGGAACACCAGUGGCGAAGGCGACCACCUGGACUGAUACUGACACUGAGGUGCGAAAGCGUGGGGAGCAAACAGGAUUAGGUACCCUGGUAGUCCACGCCGUAAACGAUGUCGACUAGCCGUUGGGAUCCUUGAGAUCUUAGUGGCGCAGCUAACGCGAUAAGUCGACCGCCUGGGGAGUACGGCCGCAAGGUUAAAACUCAAAUGAAUUGACGGGGGCCCGCACAAGCGGUGGAGCAUGUGGUUUAAUUCGAAGCAACGCGAAGAACCUUACCUGGCCUUGACAUGCUGAGAACUUUCCAGAGAUGGAUUGGUGCCUUCGGGAACUCAGACACAGGUGCUGCAUGGCUGUCGUCAGCUCGUGUUGUGAGAUGUUGGGUUAAGUCCCGUAACGAGCGCAACCCUUGUCCUUAGUUACCAGCACCUCGGGUGGGCACUCUAAGGAGACUGCCGGUGACAAACCGGAGGAAGGUGGGGAUGACGUCAAGUCAUCAUGGCCCUUACGGCCAGGGCUACACACGUGCUACAAUGGUCGGUACAAAGGGUUGCCAAGCCGCGAGGUGGAGCUAAUCCCAUAAAACCGGUCGUAGUCCGGAUCGCAGUCUGCAACUCGACUGCGUGAAGUCGGAAUCGCUAGUAAUCGUGAAUCAGAAUGUCACGGUGAAUACGUUCCCGGGCCUUGUACACGCCGCCCGUCACACCAUGGGAGUGGGUUGCUCCAGAAGUAGCUAGUCUAACCGCAAGGGGGACGGUUACCACGGAGUGAUUCAUGACUGGGGUGAAGUCGUAACAAGGUA